rnacentral:rRNA from 1 species
GACGAACGCUGGCGGCGUGCCUAAUACAUGCAAGUAGAACGCUGAAGGAGGAGCUUGCUUCUCCGGAUGAGUUGCGAACGGGUGAGUAACGCGUAGGUAACCUGCCUGGUAGCGGGGGAUAACUAUUGGAAACGAUAGCUAAUACCGCAUAACAGUAGAUGUUGCAUGACAUUUGCUUAAAAGGUGCAAUUGCAUCACUACCAGAUGGACCUGCGUUGUAUUAGCUAGUUGGUGAGGUAACGGCUCACGAAGGCGACGAUACAUAGCCGACCGGAGAGGGUGGUCAGCCAGACUGAGAGUGAGACACGGCCCAGACGCCUACGGGAGGGAGCAGGAGGGAUUCGUCGGCAAUGGACGGAAGUCUGACCGAGCAACGCCGCGUGAGUGAGGAGGGUUGUCGGAUCGUAAAGCUCUGUUGUAAGAGAAGAACGAGUGUGAGAGUGGAAAGUUCACACUGUGACGGUAACGUACCAGAAAGGGACGGCUAACUACGUG